rnacentral:rRNA from 1 species
AGUAAAGUGGCGUACGGGUGAGUAACACGUGGAUCAUCUACCUUUUAGUGGGGAAUACCGUUGGGAAACCGACGACAAUACCGCAUAAGCCCGAGAGGGGAAAGCAGCAAUGCGCUGAAAGAGGAGUCCGCGGCUGAUUAGCUAGUUGGUAGGGUAAUGGCCUACCAAGGCAUCGAUCAGUAGCCGGCCUGAGAGGGCACACGGCCACACUGGCACUGAAACACGGGCCAG